rnacentral:rRNA from 1 species
AUUGAACGCUGGCGGCAGGCUUAACACAUGCAAGUCGAGCGGAGAGAGGUAGCUUGCUACUGAUCUUAGCGGCGGACGGGUGAGUAAUGCUUAGGAAUCUGCCUAUUAGUGGGGGACAACAUUUCGAAAGGAAUGCUAAUACCGCAUACGUCCUACGGGAGAAAGCAGGGGAUCUUCGGACCUUGCGCUAAUAGAUGAGCCUAAGUCGGAUUAGCUAGUUGGUGGGGUAAAGGCCUACCAAGGCGACGAUCUGUAGCGGGUCUGAGAGGAUGAACCGCCACACUGGGACUGAGACCCGGCCCAGACUCCUACGGGAGGCAGCAGUGGGGAAUAUUGGACAAUGGGCGCAAGCCUGAUCCAGCCAUGCCGCGUGUGUGAAGAAGGCCUUAUGGUUGUAAAGCACUUUAAGCGAGGAGGAGGCUACUUUAGUUAAUACCUAGAGAUAGUGGACGUUACUCGCAGAAUAAGCACCGGCUAACUCUGUGCCAGCCGCCGCGGUAAAAC